rnacentral:rRNA from 1 species
UUGAAAGGGAAACGAUUGAAGUCAGUCGUACCGGCGGGUAAUCAGCCUUUCGGGUAUGAUUCUGUGGAGCGUGAGGAGUUAAACGCCUUCAUGCCUGCAUAUUCGUGCUCUUGGGUGUACUUAUUCGUGUGGUAAGUUAACAUCAAUUUUGGUCGUCAUAAAAUAACUGGAGGAAUGUAGCUUCGAUCUCGUAUUGAAGUGUUAUAGCCUUUGGUAGAUGUGAUUAUCGGGAUUGAGGAUUGCAACGGAUACCCUUCGGGGCUACUUGUCUGAUCUCUGAUCGUUGCUCUGGUGCCGAAAGCGUGCUUACGGUUAUCAAAGUCGAUGGUUAAUAGGUUAGAACGGGUUAAAUUCGUUAAGGAUGUUGACGUA